rnacentral:rRNA from 1 species
AGCGGACGCUGGCGGCAGGCUUAACACAUGCAAGUCGAGCGCCCCGCAAGGGGAGCGGCAGACGGGUGAGUAACACGUGGGAACGUGCCCUUUGGUCCGGAACAACCCAGGGAAACUUGGGCUAAUACCGGAUACGUCCGUAAGGAGAAAGAUUUAUCGCCAAAGGAUCGGCCCGCGUCUGAUUAGCUAGUUGGUGGGGUAACGGCCCACCAAGGCUACGAUCAGUAGCUGGUCUGAGAGGAUGAUCAGCCACAUUGGGACUGAGACACGGCCCAAACCCCUACGGGAGGCAGCAGUGGGGAAUAUUGGACAAUGGGGGCAACCCUGAUCCAGCCAUGCCGCGUGAGUGAUGAAGGCCUUAGGGUUGUAAAGCUCUUUUAGCGGGGAAGAUAAUGACGGUACCCGCAGAAAAAGCCCCGGCUAACUUCGUGCCAGCAGCCGCCGUAA